GACGAACCGUGCAAACGUUGUUCGGAAUCACUGGGCUUAAAGGGUGCGUAGGCGGCUGUCUAAGUAGGGUGUGAAAGCCCCCGGCUCAACCGGGGAAUUGCGCCCUAAACUGGAUGGCUGGAGUGAGGCAGGGGUGUGUGGAACUUCCGGUGGAGCGGUGAAAUGUGUUGAUAUCGGAAGGAACGCCGGUGGCGAAAGCGACACACUGGGUCUCAACUGACGCUGAGGCACGAAAGCCAGGGGAGCAAACGGG
rnacentral:rRNA from 1 species